rnacentral:lncRNA from 1 species
GAGACAGGCCUCAGAGUAGGUGCUCGUCAGUCAAAGUGAACCAGGGUGCUGAUGGAAUACGUAUAUGGACUUUUUGUUUCUCACUACUCUAAGCUGCCCACUUCCUGGAAAACUAGGAAUUGCAUGGACCAUAACCUAGGAACCACUAUGUGUUCAGCUUCAAGUCACCAUUCCUGUUUUUCCAUUUGCUACUUGAUUUGCUGCAGUCCUCACCUUAGACACAGUGAAGCUGUAUUUAAGGAACAAUGUUACUGUUGGGGAAGUUUUGCAAAUAACUGCUGUUUUCUUUGUAGGAACAUGUUCCCACCCAAUCUGGUAGAAGCCUGCUUUAAACAGUUUAAAACCAGCUAUGAGAAGAGAAGCUUUAAAGUGCCCAUCCAGGCCAACGAAACACUGUUGGGCGCCGUGAUCAACAACGUGUCA